CGCACAUUGCGCCUGCUGGUAUUCCGGUAGGCAUGCCUGUUUGAGCGUCAGCAAAACCUCUCAAUACAGAUUUUUCUGUGUCGGUUAUGGGCCAUGGAGGAUGAGUCUAAACCACUCGCUCCGGCUUUAAUAUUGCUGCACGACCGCAAGCUAAAAGCUAGGUUAAUGGAGUGGUGUUUACAUAUAUUCCAGCGCUAGUGGACAGUUUUGUGGCGUUAAACCCAGCGUUGCCCUUUACGGGUGACUGAAGUUUGACCUCAAAUCAGACAAGGAUACCCGCUGAACUUAA
rnacentral:misc_RNA from 1 species